CUGAGAGGAUGACCAGCCACACUGGAACUGAGACACGGUCCAGACUCCUACGGGAGGCAGCAGUGGGGAAUAUUGCACAAUGGGCGCAAGCCUGAUGCAGCCAUGCCGCGUGUAUGAAGAAGGCCUUCGGGUUGUAAAGUACUUUCAGCGGGGAGGAAGGGAGUAAAGUUAAUACCUUUGCUCAUUGACGUUACCCGCAGAAGAAGCACCGGCUAACUCCGUGCCAGCAGCCGCGGUAAUACGGAGGGUGCAAGCGUUAAUCGGAAUUACUGGGCGUAAAGCGCACGCAGGCGGUUUGUUAAGUCAGAUGUGAAAUCCCCGGGCUCAACCUGGGAACUGCAUCUGAUACUGGCA
rnacentral:rRNA from 1 species